GCCGGACCUGACUGCUAUCGGAUUGAUACUAAGCCAUGCGAGUCGUUGUAGCAAUACAAGGCAUACGGCUCAGUAACGCGUAGUCAACCUAACCUAUGGACGGGAAUAACCUCGGGAAACUGAGAAUAAUGCCCGAUAGAACAUUAUGCCUGGAAUGGUUUAUGUUCCAAAUGAUUUAUCGCCAUAGGAUGGGACUGCGGCCUAUCAGUUUGUUGGUGAGGUAAUGGCCCACCAAGACUAUUACAGGUACGGGCUCUGAGAGGAGUAGCCCGGAGAUGGGUACUGAGACACGGACCCAGGCCCUAUGGGGCGCAGCAGGCGAGAAAACUUUGCAAUGUGCGAAAGCACGACAAGGUUAAUCCGAGUGAUUUCUGCUAAAGAGAUCUUUUGUUAGUCCUAGAAACACUAACGAAUAAGGGGUGGGCAAGUUCUGGUGUCAGCCGCCGCGGUAAAACCAGCACCUCAAGUGGUCAGGAUGAUUAUUGGGCCUAAAGCAUCCGUAGCCGGCUCUGUAAGUUUUCGGUUAAAUCUGUACGCUCAACGUACAGGCUGCCGGAAAUACUGCAGAACUAGGGAGUGGGAGAGGUAGACGGUACUCGGUAGGAAGUGGUAAAAUGCUUUGAUCUAUCGAUGACCACCUGUGGCGAAGGCGGUCUACCAGAACACGUCCGACGGUGAGGGAUGAAAGCUGGGGGAGCAAACCGGAUUAGAUACCCGGGUAGUCCCAGCUGUAAACUAUGCAAACUCAGUGAUGCAUUGGCUUGUGGCCAAUGCAGUGCUGCAGGGAAGCCGUUAAGUUUGCCGCCUGGGAAGUACGUACGCAAGUAUGAAACUUAAAGGAAUUGGCGGGGGAGCACCACAAGGGGUGAAGCCUGCGGUUCAAUUGGAUUCAACGCCGGG
rnacentral:rRNA from 1 species